rnacentral:rRNA from 1 species
UGGGGGAUAUUGCACAAUGGGCGAAAGCCUGAUGCAGCGACGCCGCGUGGGGGAUGAAGGCCUUCGGGUUGUAAACUUCUUUUGCUCUGAACAAGGCAUGCUAAUGGGUGUGUUGAGUGUAGGGGUUGAUUAGCGCCGGCUAACUACGUGCCAGCAGCCGCGGUAAUACGUAGGGCGCGAGCGUUGUCCGGAAUUAUUGGGCGUAAAGGGCUUGUAGGUGGCUGGUUGCGUCUGUCGUGAAAGCUCAUGGCUUAACUGUGGGUUUGCGGUGGGUACGGGCUGGCUUGAGUGCAGUAGGGGAGGCUGGAAUUCCUGGUGUAGCGGUGGAAUGCGCAGAUAUCAGGAGGAAUACCGGUGGCGAAGGCGGGUCUCAGGGCUGUUACUGACACUGAGGAGCGAAAGCAUGGGGAGCGAACAGG